GCUUCAUAGGGAGGAUGACAAUGACGUUGAGCCAAAAACAAAAGUGAGACUCAUUGUUCCUAAUGGUUCUUGUGGCGGAAUAAUUGGCAAGGGAGGUGCUACCAUCAGAUACAAACCAUUUUCUUUUAUUAAGUUCUAGGUCCUACUUGUUUGCCACAUGCAUGAAAUUAGUAUGGAUCAAAGUAACUUUUGAUACUUAUGCUUUUUUAUUUGUGUUUUGGAAAUAUGUUUUGACUUGAAGAGGUUGUUUCUUAUAUGAAUGCUGG
rnacentral:lncRNA from 1 species